rnacentral:misc_RNA from 1 species
UGGCCCUGCCCUGCUGGCCUUAUUUAAAUAAGCACAACUACCUAACUAAAGCUUUAGCUUCUAUCAGUGGGAUAAUGGAUCCGAAUGUUUCUUGCAUGAUUGAAUGGAUUUGGCCUUUGCAUUGGAAUUUUUCGUGAAGAUGGAGAUCCUCUAUUAAACUUGUUAAUUAUCUCAUUUCAAUUUAAUUAUAAAGUAAAUUUUUUUCACCGAAGAGAUGAGGAUUUCGAACUUAACCAUUAUUUAUAGUCAAUGAUAAUGACAUAAAUUACAAACUAGAGCUGACCUUGUUUUUUAUAACAGCAAAAUUUCUGAUAAUAAUACCUUUUUACAUUAGAAAUUGGUAUUAACGUCUUCUCUGAAAUCAGCCUGUUCAAAUUUAUUUAUUUAGUUUUCAAUUUUACAAUCUGUUUUCUAUUUUCUUCUUAUACAAUAAUUAUUAUAAGUGUUUUAGGAAGGGUGCUGAAAGGUUAAACCUUCCUAGAAGAACCGCUGACUGUUAAAAUGACAGGUAUUUAGCAGAGGUUCACCUUCCUAGAAGAACCGCUGACUGUUAAAAUGACAGGUAUUUAGCAGAGGUUC